UGGGGAAUAUUGCGCAAUGGAGGAAACUCUGACGCAGCAACGCCGCGUGGGUGAAGAAGGUCUUCGGAUUGUAAAGCCCUGUCGGGAGGGAAGAAAAGCACAUGGUGAAUGUGUCUGACGGUACCUUCGAAGGAAGCACUGGCUAACUCCGUGCCAGCAGCCGCGGUAAUACGGAGAGUGCAAACGUUGUUCGGAAUUAUUGGGCGUAAAGGGCGCGUAGGCGGCUCGGUAAGUCAGAUGUGAAAGCCCGGGGCUCAACCCUGGAAGUGCGUUUGAAACUGCUGAGCUUGAGUGCAGGAGGGAGAGGUGGAAUUCCAGGUGUAGGAGUGAAAUCCGUAGAUAUCUGGAGGAACACCGGUGGCGAAGGCGACCUCUUGGCCUGAUACUGACGCUGAGGCGCGAAGGCGUGGGGAGCAAACAGG
rnacentral:rRNA from 1 species